rnacentral:rRNA from 1 species
GAUGAACGCUGGCGGCGUGCCUAAUACAUGCAAGUCGAGCGAACAGACGAGAGUGCUUGCACUCUCUGACGUUAGCGGCGGACGGGUGAGUAACACGUGGGUAACCUACCUAUAAGACUGGGAUAACUUCGGGAAACCUGAGCUAAUACCGGAUAAUAUUUAGCUUCGCAUGAAGCAAUAGUGAAAGACGGUUCUGCUGUCACUUAUAGAUGGACCCGCGGUGUAUUAGCUAGUUGGUGAGGUAACGGCUCACCAAGGCAACGAUACAUAGCCGACCUGAGAGGGUGAUCGGCCACACUGGGACUGAGACACGGCCCAGACUCCUACGGGAGGCAGCAGUAGGGAAUCUUCCGCAAUGGACGAAAGUCUGACGGAGCAAUGCCGCGUGAGUGAAGAAGGUUUUCGGAUCGUAAAACUCUGUUGUAAGGGAAGAACAAGUACGUUAGUAACUGAACGUACCUUGACGGUACCUUACCAGAAAGCCACGGCUAACUACGUG